GAUCUGAGCGAGCCAAAGUCAAGAUUUUCAACCCACUGAGCUACCCAGGUGACCCUCCAACUUAACAUUCCUGAUAGAAUGAACUGAACUACAGUGAAAAAGUUGAGUGGCAAGUGAAUCCAUGAUUCUGUAAAACUAAGAUGUUCUCAUGUGUCCUUGGACAUUGAAAGCUGCUCUACUGAGAGCACACACAUUGAAAAAGACAUAAGGUGAGAAGAAUUGCGAAGAAUUUAUAGCCAUCUUUAUUCACCACUUGAGUUUUUAAAGAAAAUAGCGGACUCUGUCAUCUGUGGGAAAUACUAGCAUCGGUGUUGAAUACUCUCUCCAAAAUUCUGGCCAACAGAUGCUUUCAAGAAUCAAUUUCAGCAACAUUUAUAACUAGAAAGAAGAGAAACUUCACACAAAGAGAUGGUGAUGGGCAGUCCUGGAUAUGGAUAUUGAAAGAAACGGUUACUAAAUGAGGAGAAGGAAAAAAAAAAAAAAAGUAAACUGUCACCCAGGAUUCUAUCUGCCAGGAAUCUCUGUUAACAAGGAUGUGCACAUUUCUCAGUACACUGAUAAUCCAUUACCAUAAUGAUGGGUCUGAGCUCCCGCAAGUUCGCAGACUGCUGUCUCAGUAGUCAAAGAUCAUUACACGCAGCACAGUUUCACAAAGAUGUUCUUAAUUCCCUGAAAAUUAGUUUCCCCUGGAUGCUAUUGGUGAGAAACUUAUAUAAUUUUAUUGUCCGCAUAUUCAGAAACUUUUGUAAAAAAUCCAAAAAUAACAAGGAAAUAUACCAUGGAUUGUGUGUAUAGUGAUUUACUCAUUGACUCAUUCAUAAGUUAAAUGAUUGUGUUUAUGUUAGUUUUAUGCUAAGUUGUGUGUUAAAAGCAUUAACUGUAAAGGUCUCCAUCCUUAUUUCACUCUUAGAAUCUCAUCUCUAGCACUGAUAGUUAAUUCUGUUCCCUUCACUCUCGCAAGUUCUCUCUUAUCUUUGACUGUCUACACCUUUACCAGCUCUGCCUGGAGCCCCCU